GGCUAACUUUGCUCAUAUCUAGAAAAUAAAUAUACAGAGGAAGUCACUGAUGAUAUCACCUCACUUAUCACUAAUCAUUCCCUCAGUGACCUUUAGGGCUUUUUCCUGUUUACCCCUCAUUCACAAGCACUCCCUGUCUGACUGCUGUCCCUGGGGGGAGUUCACUGCAUGGCUCAGAUGGACACAUUCCAUUCUGCAGAUUGUCUGUCUGCCGAGCACAUCACUGUUAUUCGCUGGGUACUAUUAGUGGCAUUCACUUGCACUAAGCAAUCUGCCUGAGAAACCAGGGGAAAAACAGCAAAUUGAAAAAUGUACACUCAGACUACAUUCAAGAUGUGACCUGGAAACUUGGAUUCUGUAAUAGCCAAGGACAGAAACAUCUCUUCACUUACAACCAGGAGCAACAGUGCUGGAGCUGCAUUUCACCCUGCUGGUUUGGAGAAGGAGGGGCCUGCCUGCUGUGUGUCCCCAUGCUCCCCAAAAUUCUGGACGGGCUCAGGUCUAAAGCCCAGACCUUGAAGGCACACAUAAACCUGGAGGUUUGCAGAUUUGGAUCUCUCAAUUUGCUCCAGGGAAACAGAGGUCAUAAGAAACAAAUUGGAGGAAGAAUUCUCUACAAUUGCAGAGAAUACAGGCACUCCCAUGUUGUGCAUUUACUGCUGUCUUGCUGAGAAUUAUUUUUAAGCAAAUAAGAGAAGCAGCCCUCCAUUGCUAUGGUUAUACAGCUUCCUGACUUGGUGCUGUAUGACUCUCUGAAGAACCAUCUCCUAAACUGAAACACAAUGAAGCAAAUCAAGAGACACAUCAAAAAUAUAAGACUGUGGAUGGCAUUGGAGAAAG
rnacentral:lncRNA from 1 species